GAUGAACGCUGGCGGCGUGCCUAAUACAUGCAAGUCGAGCGAACAGACGAGGAGCUUGCUCCUCUGACGUUAGCGGCGGACGGGUGAGUAACACGUGGAUAACCUACCUAUAAGACUGGGAUAACUUCGGGAAACCGGAGCUAAUACCGGAUAAUAUAUUGAACCGCAUGGUUCAAUAGUGAAAGACGGUUUUGCUGUCACUUAUAGCUGGAUCCGCGCUGCAUUAGCUAGUUGGUAAGGUAACGGCUUACCAAGGCAACGAUGCGUAGCCGACCUGAGAGGGUGAUCGGCCACACUGGAACUGAGACACGGUCCAGACUCCUACGGGAGGCAGCAGUAGGGAAUCUUCCGCAAUGGGCGAAAGCUUGACGGAGCAACGCCGCGUGAGUGAUGAAGGUCUUCGGAUCGUAAAACUCUGUUAUUAGGGAAGAACAAAUGUGUAAGUAACUAUGCACGUCUUAACGGUACCUAAUCAGAAAGCCACGGCUAACUACGUG
rnacentral:rRNA from 1 species